rnacentral:rRNA from 1 species
GGCAAACCCGAGUCAGGAGCCGCGGUAAUACGGAGGUUGGAGAGGUUAAUGGGAUUUACUGGGCGGAAAGCGAACGCAGGCGGUUGAUUAAGUUAGAUGUGAAAUCCCCGGGCUUAACCUGGGAAGUGCAUCUAAGACUGGUCAGCUAGAGUCUUGUAGAGGGGGGUAGAAUUCCAUGUGUAGCGGUGAAAUGCGUAGAGAUGUGGAGGAAUACCGGUGGCGAAGGCGGCCCCCUGGACAAAGACUGACGCUCAGGUGCGAAAGCGUGGGGAGCAAACAGGAUUAGAUACCCCAGUAGUC